rnacentral:tRNA from 1 species
GCCUGCAUGUAGUAGUGGUUAACUUAUCGGCCUCCGACUCUUUCUGUCAGACAGCCGGGAACCCGGGUUCGAAUCCCGGUGCAGGUG